rnacentral:rRNA from 1 species
UACGUAGGGUGCAAGCGUUUGUCCGGAAUUAUUGGGCGUAAAGAGCUCGUAGGCGGUUUGUCGCGUCUGCUGUGAAAACCCGAGGCUCAACCUCGGGCCUGCAGUGGGUACGGGCAGACUAGAGUGCGGUAGGGGAGAUUGGAAUUCCUGGUGUAGCGGUGAAAUGCGCAGAUAUCAGGAGGAACACCGGUGGCGAAGGCGGGUUGCUGGGCCGACACUGACGCUGAUGCGCGAAAGCCAGGGGAGCGAACGGG